rnacentral:rRNA from 1 species
CCUACGGGUGGCAGCAGUGGGGAAUAUUGGACAAUGGGGGGAACCCUGAUCCAGCCAUGCCGCGUGUGUGAAGAAGGCCCUCGGGUUGUAAAGCACUUUCAGUGAGGAAGAACGCCUGGUGGUUAAUACCCAUCAGGAAAGACAUCACUCACAGAAGAAGCACCGGCUAACUCCGUGCCAGCAGCCGCGGUAAUACGGAGGGUGCGAGCGUUAAUCGGAAUUACUGGGCGUAAAGCGCGCGUAGGUGGCUUGAUAAGCCGGUUGUGAAAGCCCCGGGCUCAACCUGAGAACGGCAUCCGGAACUGUCAAGCUAGAGUGCAGGAGAGGAAGGUAGAAUUCCCGGUGUAGAGGUGAAAUGCGUAGAGAUCGGGAGGAAUACCAGUGGCGAAGGCGGCCUUCUGGACUGACACUGACACUGAGGUGCGAAAGCGUGGGUAGCAAACAGGAUUAGAUACCCUUGUAGUC